rnacentral:tRNA from 1 species
GCAUUGGUGAUUCAGUGGUAGAAUCCUCGCCUUCCAUGUGGGAGACUGGGGUUCGAUUCCUGGCCAACUCA